UUAAUGUUAAAUGUGCAGUGCGUUCCCGAAAUGGGCCAUAGACACUUUCGAAGAAAAUUAUAUUAAGAACAUUCCGGAAAUUGUUUUGGCAAAGUAAUCAUUCAUUGAUCUAACCUGCAGCGGGUAGUGACUUUGCCAGUUUGCCAUAAAGACCAGCUCGUUCAAAACCAAAAAUAUCUUUAAUUGUUUCCUGGACAUGAAACAAGAAUAUACUCGGUAGUCAGCGUUGUCCUAAAGCAUUACAAUUUAAAAUUAAUUUUGUGUCAACAAAUAUGCAUUUUCUCAUUUAUUGUAUUAAAAAAAUUAAAUAUAUAAAUAAAUUAAACGUUGAAACUAGAAAGUGUGACACAAACAUUAGUCCGAUAUUGACGUCAUCGCUCUUUCAAAACAACCCCAACCUGCAAUUGUCUCACUGAACCAAAGAAAAAAAGCGGGUACCUAAGUGGAUGUCGCUCAUCUGCUGUAUAGGAGGUUACAAGUGGAUGUGAUAAAUUUGAAUUCAAUGAUAUGAAAUCAUUGUAUACGAAAAACGAUCCUGUGCGAAGACGGUCUGUCUGCAGACUGUAACAUUACUUAUUAUAGGUAUCCAAGCUAAAGCUAAAGCUAAACAAAUUGAAAACUGAAAAAGUCAGUAAACAGCUCAAGAUGAUUUAAAAUGUUUUGAAAAAUGUUCAAGUAUAGGUAUUGGUAUGGGGUAAAUUUAAAGUAUCUACAGUUAUUCCUUUUUGAAUUACAAUAAAAAAGAAAAUCGUUAAACAUUAUGAGAAUUCUAGUGAAUUCAAUGUUGUAAAAAUUUGAACUUCAAACGCUCCUACAAAUUGAAUUUGACUUUUCGCCUUUCGCUACACUUUUUUUGAAAAAAUAAAUAGACAAAUUA